AGAGUUUGAUCAUGGCUCAGGUUGAACGCUGGCGGCGUGCCUAACACAUGCAAGUCGAGCGGUAACAGGUGUAGCAAUACAUGCUGACGAGCGGCGAACGGGUGAGUAAUGCUUCGGAAUCUGCCCAAUGGUGGGGAAUAACUAGCCGAAAGGUUAGCUAAUACCGCAUGAGCCCUACGGGGGAAAGCAGGGGAUCGUAAGACCUUGCGCCGAUGGAUGAGCCGAAGCCGGAUUAGCUAGUUGGUAGGGUAACGGCCUACCAAGGCGACGAUCCGUAGCUGGUCUGAGAGGACGACCAGCCACACUGGGACUGAGACACGGCCCAGACUCCUACGGGAGGCAGCAGUGGGGAAUAUUGGACAAUGGGGGAAACCCUGAUCCAGCGACGCCGCGUGUGUGAAGAAGGCCUGCGGGUUGUAAAGCACUUUUAGUGGGGAUGAAAAGCUCAGGGCUAAUACCUCUGGGUCUUGACCUAACCCACAGAAAAAGCACCGGCUAACUCUGUGCCAGCAGCCGCGGUAAUACAGAGGGUGCGAGCGUUAAUCGGAAUUACUGGGCGUAAAGCGUGCGUAGACGGUUAUGUAAGUCGGGUGUGAAAGCCCCGGGCUCAACCUGGGAAUGCCAUUCGAGACUGCAUAGCUAGGGUGCGGAAGAGGGAAGCGGAAUUUCAGGUGUAGCGGUGAAAUGCGUAGAUAUCUGAAGGAACACCAGUGGCGAAAGCGGCUUCCUGGUCCAGCACCGACGUUCAGGCACGAAAGCGUGGGGAGCAAACAGGAUUAGAUACCCUAGUAGUCC
rnacentral:rRNA from 1 species